rnacentral:rRNA from 1 species
GCGACCCUAGGUGUGGCGGGAUUACCCGCUGAAUUUAAGCAUA